UACGAAGGGGGCUAGCGUUGUUCGGAAUGACUGGGCGUAAAGGGUGCGUAGGCGGUUUGAUAAGUUUGGUGUGAAAGUCCUGGGCUUAACCUGGGGAUUGCACUGGAAACUGUUAGACUAGAGAUCGAGAGAGGAAAAUGGAAUUGCGAGUGUAGAGGUGAAAUUCGUAGAUAUUCGCAAGAACACCGGUGGCGAAGGCGGUUUUCUGGCUCGAUACUGACGCUAAGGCACGAAAGCGUGGGGAGCAAACAGG
rnacentral:rRNA from 1 species